rnacentral:lncRNA from 1 species
GCUCCCACAACCACCGGAACCUGUCAGAAUCUGCAUCCAAACCGAGGAGCAGCACAGAGCCGCGGUACUUCCGGGAGCGGAUCCCGUGGGCGGGGGUCACAGCCCGGAGGGAGAGAGGGCUUCUCCCCACCCCGAGAGCAGCAGCGAGCCUCCCGCGCUGCCGGCACACCUGACUCCAGCCGAGCUUCGCCAUCUCCGAGCCUCCGUCCCUCGUCGGGGGCGUUCGCACUCCGCCACGGCCUUCCUCCUGCGCCUGGCCACACGGGGUCACCUAAGGUCGGCGCAAACGCCGGUGACGCCCGGGGGAGGCCGGGCUGCGGUGCUCCCAUCUCCCACCCUGCUCGUGACCUUGGCCGGCCUCCGCGGCCGCUGCGAUCGCGCUCGCCCUCCGCGCCCCGCUCCCCGCUCCCCGCUCCCGGCUCCCUGCUCCCCGCUCCCGGCGUGGGCGCCAGCACGAUUCCCGUGUCUCCUCCUCAGUCUCCUUCCCUCGGCCUCGAUCCUCGGCCUCCGCAUCCCCGGACGACAGGGACCGACCGGCUCCUCUCCCCGCCCCGCCCCGCGUCCCUCUGCCCGCCGCCCCGGCCCUCCCGAGCACCCGGUGACCCUCCGCCCUGCGCGCUCCCGGCCGGCGCGGCUCCCCUCACUCACAACGCUCGGCGCCCCAGCAGUCCCACCGGCUCCUGGCCGCCACCCCGAGUGCCAGCGAGCCCACAGCUUCGCCCGGCUCCGGACGCGGCUCGCCCCAGCCAAUCAGAAGCCAACGGCCGGCGCGCCGGGUCCCGCCGAUUGGACGCGCGAGGGCGCGGUGGGUGGGGCCUCCCGCAGCGAGGCGCCGAUUGGCUGGGGCUCGUCGGGCCGCCUGGUCGCACGCCGUUCGUGUCAGACGUGAGGCCUGGGCGGCCGGCUUGGCACCGGCUCCGCUCCCCGGUUCCCACGGCUGGUUCUCCGAGCGCCGCACGCGCACGCGCACGCGCACGCCCGACCGCCCGCCCGCCCGGCUAA